rnacentral:rRNA from 1 species
AUACGGAGGGUGCAAGCGUUAAUCGGAAUUACUGGGCGUAAAGCGCGCGUAGGCGGCCGAAUAAGUCGAUUGUGAAAGCCCCGGGCUCAACCUGGGAAUUGCAGUCGAUACUGUUCGGCUAGAGUGUGGGAGAGGGUGGUGGAAUUCCCGGUGUAGCGGUGAAAUGCGUAGAUAUCGGGAGGAACAUCAGUGGCGAAGGCGACCACCUGGCCCAACACUGACGCUGAGGUGCGAAAGCGUGGCUAGCAAACAGGAUUAGAUACCCUGGUAGUCCACGCCGUAAACGAUGUCGACUAGCCGUUGGAGACCUUAGAGUCUUUAGUGGCGCAGCUAACGCACUAAGUCGACCGCCUGGGGAGUACGGCCGCAAGGUUAAA